rnacentral:rRNA from 1 species
GGGCCCGCACAAGCGGUGGAGUAUGUGGUUUAAUUCGAUGCAACGCGAAGAACCUUACCAGGGUUUGACAUCCUGCGAAUCUCUUGGAAACAGGAGAGUGCCUUCGGGGACGCAGUGACAGGUGCUGCAUGGCUGUCGUCAGCUCGUGUUGUGAAAUGUUGGGUUAAGUCCCGCAACGAGCGCAACCCUUAUCCUUGUUUGCCAGCGAGUAAUGUCGGGAACUAUAAGGGGACUGCCGGUGAUAAACCGGAGGAAGGUGAGGACGACGUCAAGUCAUCAUGGCCCUUACGAGUAGGGCUACACACGUGCUACAAUGGGAAAUACAGACGGACGCUAAGCCGCGAGGUGGUG